GACGAACGCUGGCGGCGCGCCUAACACAUGCAAGUCGAACGAGGUCUUUUAGAAGCUUGCUUCUGGCUGACCUAGUGGCGGACGGGUGAGUAACACGUGAGCAACCUGCCCUACAGAGGGGGAUAACGUCUGGAAACGGACGCUAAUACCGCAUAACGUAUCGGAGUGGCAUCGCUCUGGUACCAAAGGAGAAAUCCGCUGUGGGAUGGGCUCGCGGCCGCUUAGAUAGUUGGUGAGGUAACGGCUCACCAAGUCGACGAUCGGUAGCCGGACUGGGAGGUUGAUCGGCCACAUUGGGACUGAGACACGGCCCGGACUCCUACGGGAGGCAGCAGUAGGGAAUUUUCGGCAAUGGGGGGAACCCUGACCGAGCAACGCCGCGUGAAGGAAGAAGGUUUUCGGAUUGUAAACUUCUGUUAUAAAGGGAGAACGGUACAUGGGGGGAAUGCCAUGUAAGUGACGGUACUUUAUGAGAAAGCCACGGCUAACUACGUGCCAGCCGCCGCCGUAAGAC
rnacentral:rRNA from 1 species